GCGGGUGUGGUUCAAUGGUAGAACGCGAGCCUUCCAAGCUUGAGACGAGGGUUCGAUUCCCUUCACCCGCU
rnacentral:tRNA from 1 species